GAUGAACGCUGGCGGCGUGCCUAAUACAUGCAAGUCGAGCGAACAGACGAGGAGCUUGCUCCUCUGACGUUAGCGGCGGACGGGUGAGUAACACGUGGAUAACCUACCUAUAAGACGGGGAUAACUUCGGGAAACCGGAGCUAAUACCGGAUAAUAUAUUGAACCGCAUGGUUCAAUAGUGAAAGACGGUUUUGCUGUCACUUAUAGAUGGAUCCGCGCCGCAUUAGCUAGUUGGUAAGGUAACGGCUUACCAAGGCGACGAUGCGUAGCCGACCUGAGAGGGUGGUCGGCCACACUGGAACUGAGACGCGGUCCAGACUCCUACGGGAGGCAGCAGUAGGGAAUCUUCCGCAAUGGGCGAAAGCCUGACGGAGCAACGCCGCGUGAGUGAUGAAGGUCUUCGGAUCGUAAAACUCUGUUAUUAGGGAAGAACAAAUGUGUAAGUAACUAUGCACGUCUUGACGGUACCUAAUCAGAAAGCCACGGCUAACUACGUG
rnacentral:rRNA from 1 species